GACGAACGCUGGCGGCGUGCCUAACACAUGCAAGUCGAACGGGUGAUUCCUUCGGGGAUCACUUAGUGGCGAACGGGUGAGUAACGCGUGAGGAACCUGCCUUUCAGUGGGGGACAACAGUUGGAAACGACUGCUAAUACCGCAUAACAUGUACGGAUCGCAUGGUCUGUACAUCAAAGCUUUAUGUGCUGAAAGAUGGCCUCGCGUCUGAUUAGCUAGUUGGUGGGUAACGGCCCACCAAGGCGACGAUCAGUAGCCGGUCUGAGAGGAUGAACGGCCACAUUGGGACUGAGAUACGGCCCAGACUCCUACGGGAGGCAGCAGUGGGGAAUAUUGGGCAAUGGGGGAAACCCUGACCCAGCAACGCCGCGUGAA
rnacentral:rRNA from 1 species